rnacentral:rRNA from 1 species
UACAGGGGGUGCAAACGUUGCUCGGAAUUAUUGGGCGUAAAGCGCGCGUAGGCGGCUACCUAAGUCGGAUGUGAAAGCCCCUGGCUUAACUGGGGAAGUGCACCCGAAACUGGGUAGCUAGAGUGCAAAAGAGGGUCGCGGAAUUCCCGGUGUAGAGGUGAAAUUCGUAGAUAUCGGGAGGAACACCGAUGGCGAAGGCAGCCCCCUGGGCUGACACUGACGCUCAGGCACGAAAGCGUGGGGAGCAAACAGG